rnacentral:miRNA from 1 species
UAGGGACACUGGGAGACAUAGGGACACUGGGAGACAUAGGGACACUGAGGAAAUGGGGACCCUGAGACACUAGGGACACAGUGGCCCCAUGUCUCCCAGUGGCCCCUAGUCUCUCAGUGGCCCCAUGUCUCCCAGCCAGUGUCC